rnacentral:rRNA from 1 species
GACGAACGCUGGCGGCGUGCUUAACACAUGCAAGUCGAACGGAAAGGCCCUGAUUUUGUGGGGUGCUCGAGUGGCGAACGGGUGAGUAACACGUGAGUAACCUGCCCUUGACUUUGGGAUAACUUCAGGAAACUGGGGCUAAUACCGGAUAGGAGCUCCUGCUGCAUGGUGGGGGUUGGAAAGUUUCGGCGGUUGGGGAUGGACUCGCGGCUUAUCAGCUUGUUGGUGGGGUAGUGGCUUACCAAGGCUUUGACGGGUAGUCGGCCUGAGAGGGUGACCGGCCACAUGUAAACUGAGAUACGCCCCAGACUCGUACUGGAAUCAGCAGUGAGGAAUAUUGCACAAUGGUCGGAAGCCUGAUGCAGCAACUCCCCGUGCGGGAUGACGGCCUUCGGGUUGUAAACCGCUUUCGCCUGUGACGAAGCGUAAGUAACGGUAAUAGGUAAAGAAGCACCGGCUAACUACGUG